AUCCGUAACUAGAUAUCCGAAUCUAAAAGAAAAGAAUAGAUAAUGCGCUCGAUAGUUCAAUAAGUAAUGAAUAUCUUAAUUAGAUAAUUUAUGUAAUAAUAUAAGAUAUAAUAGUUAAAUAAAAUAAUCAUGAAUUAGUGUAAGAUAUAAUUAAUUUCGUUUUCACUUACCAAUCUAGUAGAAUUAAUAUUUUUUGAAUUAAAAAAGGG
rnacentral:lncRNA from 1 species